AUGACUCCACGACCGAUAGCUUCGCUUGUGGCUGAUCCUCCCAGGGACGUUUCGGAGUUAAUCCUCCCAGCUACAGCAUCUUGGAACGAAGAGCUAGUCAGAGCGGUUUUUCUUCCGAUCGACGCCGAAGCCAUUCUGAGGAUACCUGUUUGCACACGCAACAUAGAGCAUUUCUGGGCUUGGUACCCAGAGAAGAAGGGAAAGUUUACGGCCAGCUCCGCCUACAAAUUUUUGCAACAAACAAAGAUCCAGAGGGAGGAAUGGUUGGAAGGAAGGGGCGGGUCGUCUAGCUUCGAGAGAGAUGAAAAAUCCUGGAGCAUGCUGUGGAAGAUCAAGGUUCCCUCGAAGAUAAGAAUCUUCUUAUGGAGGUUGGCACACCAUUCACUUCCAACUACAGAUAUUUUGAAGCGGAGAAACAUGUCUACCCUAGACGCUUGCCCGCUGUGUGGAUGCGAGGAUUCAUGGAGACACGCUCUUGUGGCCUGCACCAUGUCGAGGUGUGAGUGGGCUCUGACGGAAGACACCAUCGUAUCCAGGAUGACCGAGAACGUGGUAGCCGAUGCGAGGAUUUGGCUAUUUCAGCUGCACGAGUCGAUGGACCAAACCAACUUCACACGGAUGGUUAUUACUCUUUGGUCGAUUUGGUACGCUCGACGGAAGGCAAUAUACGAAUCAAUCUUUCAAAGUCCACAGCAAACGGUUAACUUUGUUAACAACUAUAUCAGCGAUCUCGGUCUUAUCACGACACAGGAGUAUCAUCCAGGUCCUACUACACCCGCCCAAGAACGGCCAUUGUGGUGCCUUCGACCGCCGAGCGGCAACGUCAAGAUCAAUGUAGAUGGGGCAGUGGCGAGGUGUAGUAGAGGGGGAGCGGUCGCGGUUCUAUGCCGUGACCAGGAAGGAGUCUAUUUGGGAUCGUCGGCGGUGGUUUUUCGCCACACGCGGGAUCCUCUUCUUCUGGAGACAUAUGCUUGUCGGGAGGCACUAGCACUCGUCGACGACCUGGCGGUAAGAAUCAUCUACGUCGCUUCGGAUUCCCAGGAGGUGGUAAACGACAUCAACAGGGGCGCCGGAGGCCCAAAUGCGUCUAUUGUGCAUGAAAUAUUGAGUCAUUGUAAUAAUUUUAGCUCUUACUCUUUUGUUCAUGAGCGAAGGAACUUAAAUUUCGAGGCUCACAAUCUCGCUAAAUAUGCUUGUAAGCUAGGUAUAGGGCGUCAUGUUUGGUUGGACAUACCUCAUGACCCAACAUGUGUACCUAUGACUAUUUCUUUGAUUGAAUAA
rnacentral:rRNA from 1 species